rnacentral:rRNA from 1 species
AUUGAACGCUGGCGGCAGGCCUAACACAUGCAAGUCGAGCGGAUGAAGGGAGCUUGCUCCUGGAUUCAGCGGCGGACGGGUGAGUAAUGCCUAGGAAUCUGCCUGGUAGUGGGGGAUAACGUCCGGAAACGGGCGCUAAUACCGCAUACGUCCGGAGGGGGAAAGGGGGGGAUCUUCGGACCUCACGCUAUCGGAUAAGCCUAGGUCGGAUUAGCUAGUUGGUGGGGUAAAGGCCUACCAAGGCGACGAUCCGUAACUGGUCUGAGAGGAUGAUCAGUCACACUGGAACUGAGACACGGUCCAGACUCCUACGGGAGGCAGCAGUGGGGAAUAUUGGACAAUGGGCGAAAGCCUGAUCCAGCCAUGCCGCGUGUGUGAAGAAGGUCUUCGGAUUGUAAAGCACUUUAAGUUGGGAGGAAGGGCAGUAAGUUAAUACCUUGCUGUUUUGACGUUACCAACAGAAUAAGCACCGGCUAACUUCGUG